rnacentral:misc_RNA from 1 species
AAUUCUAAUUUUUAUCUAAUAAAAUAUUUUCAUAAAAAAUUUAUA